UGCAGAGAUCUUAAUCACAUAAAUCAAUAUGUAGUGGGACUUGCACUAUGUGCUUUAGGAAACAUUUGUUCAGCAGAAAUGGCUCAUGAUCUUGCACCAGAGGUUGAGAGAUUGCUACAAUUACGUGACCCCAAUAUUCGGAAGAAGAGCAUGCCGAAGCUACAGUCCAAGUUCUAACAUAAGCAAAUAGGAGAGUUGCAGUAGCUUCUCUGGUCCCGUUUCAAUUCCUAGGGAGCCUCCAAUUCCGCCAAUCCGUCGCUGCAUCCACAUACCGCACAUUUCAAAUUACUGUUGACACCACAGGAAGUCGAAUGGCACAUCGAUACUAUCAAUGUAUGUAUGUGCAAUGUAAUCAAUGUGAUAUCGUCUUGAGAUGGUUACGAUGUGAUGUGCGGAUCUGUUUUGUAGAAGAUUCAUCAUGACAUGGUCAAGUUUCCGCUGCAUUAGUUCUUUGCUCCAUAGCUUUCACAGAUCCAAAGUCCAGGAAAUGUCGACUCUGCUGGCA